AGUCGAGAGCCAAAAAGAUUAAGAACUAGAGAAUUAAUUUGGCUUCAGAAAGAGAUGAGCAUCACCCUUGAAUUCGAGAGAAUUUCAUAAGUUGUCAUCUCCACAUUCUUAAGGAUCUUCAUUGAAAAUCUCAUCAUGUCGGUGUUUCACUUACUAGGCGUUGAGCACAUCAUCUCAAAAGAGAUAUGCAUUGAAUGUGUAGUCUGUACACUCUUCAUCUAGUCGCGUGGUGCGACAUUUGGAGCAGGACGUGACAUGUGUAAACAUAGUAACCAAACCAUGCACCAUAGAGACAUGGCAAUGUGGCUACUCAUCGAGAGGUUGAGACCUAGAGGUUAUGUUCAUGAACAUAGGAAUUUCCUCUCAAGUAUAAGAAAAAAUGAGACAUGCUCAUCUUAUCUCCAUUCUUAUAAUUCAUUUGACAAAUAUUGCUUUAUAUUCAUCCACCUUCAUUUCAUCUAUUCUCUUUAAGUUCAUAGUUA